CAGUCGCCACGGUAAUACGUAGGGCGCAAGCGUUAUCCGGAAUUAUUGGGCGCAAAGAGCUCGUAGGCGGUUUGUCGCGUCUGCUGUGAAAGUCCGGGGCUCAACCCCGGAUCUGCGGUGGGUACGGGCAGACUAGAGUGAUGUAGGGGAGACUGGAAUUCCUGGUGUAGCGGUGAAAUGCGCAGAUAUCAGGAGGAACACCGAUGGCGAAGGCAGGUCUCUGGGCAUUAACUGACGCUGAGGAGCGAAAGCAUGGGGAGCGAACAGGAUUAGAUACCCCCGUAGUCCCUGUCUCUUAUAC
rnacentral:rRNA from 1 species